AAAAAAUAAAACCUGGAUUCCGUAUCUAACGUUUCACCGUUCGUCUUAUUUGUAAUAUUAUGAAAAAAAUUAAAAAGACAAGUCACGCAUAAAAUAUUAAUCAUAUUUUAUCAUCUAACAACAAUGAAAAUACGAAUUAUAAAAAAAUUUCAUAUAAGACGGACAGUCAAAGUUGGACACGGAAACUCAGGGUUUGCCUUUUU
rfam:Oryza glumipatula chromosome 3, whole genome shotgun sequence.